GGGGGGGGGGGGGGGGGGGGGGGGGGGGGGGGGGGGGGGGGGGGGGGGGGGGCGGUUGUGGGGGGGUGGAGUGGCGAACAGGGGCGGGCCACGGGCGGAACCGGCCCGGGGCUCGGGGGGCGCUUCGGGAAACUGGGCCUCAUAGCGGAUCGGGGCUCCUGCUGCAUGUUUGCGGUUCGCACGUUUCGCCGGUUGGGGAUGGACUCGCGGCUUAUCAGCCUGUUGGUGGGGUAGUGGCUUACCAAGGCUUUGACGGGUAGCCGGCCUGAGAGGGUUACCGGCCACAUUGGGACUGAGAUACGGCACAGACUGCUACGGGAGGCAGCAGUGGGGAAUAGUGCACAAUGGGCGGAAGCCUGAUGCAGCAACGUCGCGUGCGGGAUGACGGCCUUCGGGUUGUAAACCGCUUUAGCCUGUGACGAAGCGUGAGUGACGGUAAUGGGUAAAGAAGCACCGGCUAACUACGUG
rnacentral:rRNA from 1 species